AUUGAACGCUGGCGGCAUGCCUUACACAUGCAAGUCGAACGGUAACGGGCCUUCGGGUGCCGACGAGUGGCGAACGGGUGAGUAAUGCAUCGGAACGUACCUUUCAGUGGGGGAUAACGUAGCGAAAGUUACGCUAAUACCGCAUAUUCUGUGAGCAGGAAAGCAGGGGAUCGCAAGACCUUGCACUGAUUGAGCGGCCGAUGUCAGAUUAGCUAGUUGGGGAGGUAAAGGCUCACCAAGGCGACGAUCUGUAGCGGGUCUGAGAGGAUGAUCCGCCACACUGGAACUGAGACACGGUCCAGACUCCUACGGGAGGCAGCAGUGGGGAAUUUUGGACAAUGGGGGCAACCCUGAUCCAGCCAUGCCGCGUGAGUGAAGAAGGCCUUCGGGUUGUAAAGCUCUUUCGGUCGGGAAGAAAUCGCAUGGGUUAAUACCCUGUGCGGAUGACGGUACCGGCAUAAGAAGCACCGGCUAACUACGUGCCAGCCGCCGCAGUAACAC
rnacentral:rRNA from 1 species